rnacentral:rRNA from 1 species
AUGUCCAACGGAAGCACUCCCGACCCACUCCACCCCUCCACCGGAGGCGUCAAAUACGUUCCCAGCGUCUUCCCCAGCGGAGAGUCCGACGACGAUGAGUUCCCCGCAUACGGAGAGUUCUCGCUGAGGCUGAGACCGCGCCGCAAUCUCCGCUACGGUGGCGUCGACGAAGAGAGCCGUCCUUCCUCCCCCGCCUUGCUCCCGCAUAGCAGGCCCAGCUGCUCCGUCCUCCGGGGGUCUCGGCUGCACACAGAAUCUGUCUGUCAUCGCUCCUCCGACUCCCUCGAGGCUCCCUUGGUUAACCUGAAGCAGCAGAGGCGUCGCCCUUUGGCCUCCAGUGCUGCUGCCCCCGCCUCCGGUGGAGUUGCUCCGGCGCACUUCGUGACCCCGGCCGCAGGAACGGCGAGCCCGGUCGCCUUCUCGACCUCUCCGUCGCCGAUCGAUUUGACAGCCGCAGCCGAUGCUCCCGGCGGUCGUACCAGCGGAUCCGUGUACAGGCCGCCCGUUGUGAAGACCCGCACCACAUUGAACAGUUCUGCCGGAGGCCGGCGCGGUUCUCUCGUGGGCGCCGCGCCCAAGGCAGCUCCGACUCCGAAGGAGACGGCUUUGAGCACGUACGGCCGGGAUAUGACGGUGGUGGCUGGCAUGACUGAUCCGGUGAUCGGCCGCGACGACGAGAUCGAUCGUGUCGUCUGCAUCCUGUGCCGCCGGACCAAGAACAGCGCCCUGCUGGUCGGCGCACCGGGAGUCGGCAAGACGGCCAUUGCCGAGGGGCUCGCUCGGCGCAUCGCAGGUGGGAUGGUGCCCGCCGCUCUGGCCGGGGCGCGCGUGGUGGAGGUCGACCUUGGGGCGAUGGUGGCAGGGACCCAGUACCGCGGCAUGUUCGAGCAACGCCUCAAGGAUGUGAUCAAGGAAGCGGAGGAUGCGGACGGCCAGGUAGUUCUGUUCAUUGACGAGGUGCACAUGCUUGUCGGCUCCGGGAAGACCAAGGGCGGCAGCAUGGACGGCGCCAACCUGCUGAAGCCGGCAUUGGCCCGCGGUCGUAUCCGAUGCGUGGGCGCUACGACUUUCGACGAGUACCGCAAGUACAUUGAAAAAGACGCCGCACUGGAGCGACGGUUCCAGAAGGUGCAUGUGGAGGAGCCAAGCACGCAGGCAACCAUUUGUAUUCUGCGGGGGCUAAAGCAGCGGUAUGAAGAGCACCAUGGCCUGAAGAUUCAGGAUGCUGCUCUUGUUGCUGCUGCACAGCUUGCUGGCCGCUAUAUAACUGGUCGUCAAUUUCCUGAUAAGGCAAUUGAUCUGAUUGACGAGGCAUGUUCCACCACAAGGAUGCAGAUUGAUAGCCAAAGACAAUGGAGCGCAACACAAAGUACCUCCACAAGAGCAGUGCGGGAAGGAGUUCUUGGCCCAGAUCAUGUUGCGCAAGUUGUGAGUCGAUGGACAGGAAUUCCCGUCGCCACACUUGAUGAAGAGGAGAAGGAUAAGUUGAUCCACCUUGCUAACAGAUUGCAUGAGCGAGUCGUUGCUGGUCUUGAUCAAUCUGGCCAACCGAUAGGAUCUUUCCUCUUUCUAGGACCGACUGGUGUGGGAAAGACCGAGCUCGCAAAAGCUCUUGCUGAGCAACUAUUCAAUACUGAGAAGAUGUUGGUUCGCUUUGACAUGUCUAAGUACGUUAAUAGUGGAUCUGUGUUGCGCCUCAUUGGAGCACCUCCGAGUUAUCAUGGUCAUGAAGAUGGUGGGCAACUGACUGAGAAAAUCAGGAGGCGCCCAUACAGUGUUAUACUCUUUGAUGAGGUGGAGAAGGCAGAUCCGUCAGUGUUUAAUGUUUUUCUUCAGCUCCUUGAUGAUGGUAUGUUGACUGAUGGCAAGGGACGGACCGUGGAUUUCAAGAAUACCAUCAUCAUUAUGACAUCAAAUAUGGGAGCAGAGCACCUAACAGCAGGAAUGAAUGGAGAAACAACAAUGGAAGCAGCACACGGUCUUGUUAUGGAACAGGUUCAGAAAUGCUUCAAGCCCGAGCUUCUCAACAGAUUGAGUGAGGUGGUGAUAUUUGAACCUCUUUCGCAUGACAAACUGAAGGAGGUAGUCAAAAUCCAGAUGAAGAUUAUUAUUGCCAGUGUAGCUAACAAGGGUAUCUCUCUAGUUGCAAGUGACGAUGCGCUAGAUGUCAUUCUGUCAGAAUCAUACAACCCAAUGUAUGGUGCAAGGCCCAUAAGGAGGUGGGUGCAUAAGAAUGUCAUGACAAAGCUCUCGGAGUUGCUGGUCAAAGGGGAAGUCGAUGAGGGCAGUAUGGUUUCCGUUGAUGCUACGACCGACAAGAAGGGGCUGGAAUAUCAAGUGGUGAAGAAGGUGAUAGAGGCACAGGGCAAGAAGCUAGUGAUGGAGGUUCCUAGCGACUCCUACGAUAGUGACGAUGUGGUUGAGGUCUUUCCCGUAGCGAAGAAGGCAAAGGUAGUGGGCUUUUAG